rnacentral:rRNA from 1 species
AUGCUGCCGGCUGGCGUCAAGUUUGAUCCCACGGAUCAGGAGCUGAUCGAGCACCUUGAGGCCAAAGUGAGUGCUGACAGCGCAAGAUCUCACCCUCUUAUCGAUUUGUUCAUACCAACCAUCAACAACGAGCAUCACAUAUGCUACACCCAUCCUGAGAAACUUCCAGGUAUCACACUGAGUGGCCUAAGCAAGCAUUUCUUCCAGUGCAAUUCCAGGGCAUUCAAAAGGGGCACGUGGACGCGUCGCAAGAUACAGUCGGAGUGCGGCAUGCACGCGAUGUGGCACAAGACCGGCAAUACCUUGCCGGUGAUGGUCAACGGCCGGCAGACGGGCAGCAAAAAGGUUCUGGUGCUGCACACCAACAAGAACUUCGACCAGCAGAGGACCAACUAG